rnacentral:rRNA from 1 species
UAGGGAAUCUUCGGCAAUGGACGAAAGUCUGACCGAGCAACGCCGCGUGAGUGAAGAAGGUUUUCGGAUCGUAAAACUCUGUUGGUAGAGAAGAACGUUGGUGAGAGUGGAAAGCUCAUCAAGUGACGGUAACUACCCAGAAAGGGACGGCUAACUACGUGCCAGCAGCCGCGGUAAUACGUAGGUCCCGAGCGUUGUCCGGAUUUAUUGGGCGUAAAGCGAGCGCAGGUGGUUUAUUAAGUCUGGUGUAAAAGGCAGUGGCUCAACCAUUGUAUGCAUUGGAAACUGGUAGACUUGAGUGCAGGAGAGGAGAGUGGAAUUCCAUGUGUAGCGGUGAAAAUGCGUAGAUAUAUGGAGGAACACCGGUGGCGAAAAGCGGCUCUCUGGCCUGUAACUGACACUGAGGCUCGAAAGCGUGGGGAGCAAACAGG